UACAGAGGUCCCAAGCGUUGUUCGGAUUCAUUGGGCGUAAAGGGUGCGUAGGCGGUGCGGUAAGUCGGGUGUGAAAUCUCGGAGCUUAACUCCGAAACUGCAUUCGAUACUGCCGUGCUUGAGGACUGGAGAGGAGACUGGAAUUUACGGUGUAGCGGUGAAAUGCGUAGAUAUGCGGAGGAACACCGAUGGCGAAGGCAAUCCCCUGGACCUGUACUGACGCUCAUGCACGAAAGCGUGGGGAGCAAACAGG
rnacentral:rRNA from 1 species